GCCCAUUCCAGGCAGGCCCAUUCCAGGCAGGCCCAUUCCAGGUAGAUUUAUCCAGGUAGGCCCAUUCCAGGUAGGUUUAUCCAGGUAGGUUCAUCCAGGUAGGCCCAUUCCAGGUAGGUUUAUCCAGGUAGGCCCAUUCCAGGUAGGUUUAUCUAGGUAGGCCCAUUCCAGGUAGGUUUAUCCAGGUAGGCCCAUUCCAGGUAGGUUUAUCCAGGUAGGCCCAAUCCAGGUAGGUUUAUCCAGGUAGGCCCAAUCCAGGUAGGUUUAUCCAGGUCGGCCCAAUCCAGGUAGGUUUAUCCAGGUCGGCCCAAUCCAGGCAGGUUUAUC